UACGUAGGGGGCGAGCGUUGUCCGGAUUUACUGGGCGUAAAGGGUGAGUAGGCGGUUAUAUAUGUCAGGUGUAAAAAGCUAUGGCUUAACCAUAGUAAGCACUUGAAACUGUAUGACUUGAGUGCAGGAGAGGUAAGCGGAAUUCCUAGUGUAGCGGUGAAAUGCGUAGAUAUAUGGAGGAACACCAGUGGCGAAGGCGACUCUCUGGUCUGUAACUGACGCUGAGGCUCGAAAGCGUGGGGAGCAAACAGGAUUAGAUACCCCU
rnacentral:rRNA from 1 species